rnacentral:rRNA from 1 species
ACAGUGCGAUAAGGGGACUCCGAGUGCGAGGGCAUACAGUCCUCGCUUUUCUGUACCGUAGGGUGGUACAGGAACAAGUGCUGGGCAAGACCGGUGCCAGCCGCCGCGGUAAUACCGGCAGCACGAGUGAUGGCCGAUAUUAUUGGGCCUAAAGCGUCCGUAGCUGGCCGGACAAGUCCGUUGGGAAAUCCACCCGCUUAACGGGUGGGCGUCCAGCGGAAACUGUCCGGCUUGGAGCCGGAAGACCUGAGGGGUACGUCCGGGGUAGGAGUGAAAUCCCGUAAUCCUGGACGGACCGCCGGUGGCGAAAGCGCCUCAGGAGGACGGACUCGACAGUGAGGGACGAAAGCCAGGGUCUCGAACCGGAUUAGAUACCCGGGUAGUCCUGGCCGUAAACGAUGUCCGCUAGGUGUGGCGCAGGCUACGAGCCUGCGCUGUGCCGUAGGGAAGCCGUGAAGCGGACCGCCUGGGAAGUACGUCUGCAAGGAUGAAACUUAAAGGAAUUGGCGGGGGAGCACUACAACCGGAGGAGCCUGCGGUUUAAUUGGACUCAACGCCGGACAUCUCACCAGCACCGACAGUGUGCAGUGAAGGUCAGGUUGAUGACCUUAUUGGAGCCACUGAGAGGAGGUGCAUGGCCGCCGUCAGCUCGUACCGUGAGGCGUCCUGUUAAGUCAGGCAACGAGCGAGACCCGCACUCCUAGUUGCCAGCAACACCUUGCGGUGGUUGGGUACACUAGGAGGACUGCCGUGGCUAACACGGAGGAAGGAACGGGCAACGGUAGGUCAGUAUGCCCCGAAUGUGCUGGGCAACACGCGGGCUACAAUGGCCGGGACAGUGGGACGCCAAUCCGAGAGGAUGCGCUAAUCCCCUAAACCCGGUCGUAGUUCGGAUUGAGGGCUGAAACUCGCCCUCAUGAAGCUGGAUUCGGUAGUA